UAAAAAGGUAAAAUAGAAGAUUUGAGUAGUAAUAGAGUUCUCAAAACUAAAAGAGUUUGGCGGUAUUUAAGUCUUUCCAGAGGAACCUGUAAUUUAAUCGAUAAUCCUCGGUAAUUUUACUUUAAUUAAAAUUUGUAUAUCGUUGUCAUCAGAAUAAUUUUUUGAAUGUUUUCGUAAUUUUUGAUAAGAGGAUGUCAAAUCAAGGUGCAGUGGAUGUUAGAGGUUUUAUGGGUUACAAUAUUGGAGAAUAUACGAAUAAUUUUUUUGUAAUAGUUAUUUGAAGGCGGAUUUGGAUGUAAUUUUUUGGUAGGUUGAUAGGGUGAACAAGAUCUAAAAUAUGC
rnacentral:rRNA from 1 species